AUUGAACGCUGGCGGCAGGCCUAACACAUGCAAGUCGAGCGGUAGCACAGAGAGCUUGCUCUCGGGUGACGAGCGGCGGACGGGUGAGUAAUGUCUGGGAAACUGCCUGAUGGAGGGGGAUAACUACUGGAAACGGUAGCUAAUACCGCAUAACGUCGCAAGACCAAAGUGGGGGGACCUUCGGGCCUCAUGCCAUCAGAUGUGCCCAGAUGGGAUUAGCUGGUAGGUGGGGUAACGGCUCACCUAGGCGACGAUCCCUAGCUGGUCUGAGAGGAUGACCAGCCACACUGGAACUGAGACACGGUCCAGACUCCUACGGGAGGCAGCAGUGGGGAAUAUUGCACAAUGGGCGCAAGCCUGAUGCAGCCAUGCCGCGUGUGUG
rnacentral:rRNA from 1 species